rnacentral:tRNA from 1 species
ACAGUGGUGGUUCAGUGGUAGAAUUCUCACCUUCCACGUGGGAGACUUGGCUUUGAUUCCUGGCCAAUGAA